rnacentral:lncRNA from 1 species
UGCAGGCACAUGGACGAGGCCAUAGUUUUUGUCGAGUCAAUUCCACUUGGAAUGAAAGCCCGUACUGCAUUCAAAUAAAAUAGUUCCCUUACGUUAACUUUAACUCAGGAGGAUGUCAUAAGGCCCAUCAAACUUGUGCAAUGGGUGGCAAACUUUAAUUGCUGGUCCAUGCUCUAUCAUUUCAAAAUGCUGGGCAUCAAGCGAGGAAGCAGCACAUACCAUUUUAAAAGUCUUUGGUACAACUUAGCCAGGGGUAGGUUUGAACCACCGACGUCCGAAACUAAAAGCAGACACUCUAACCUUUACGCUCUCAACCAGUGUGACCACUCCGCAUUUUCAUAAAUGCCAAGGUGAGCCAAUGAAAAAAGCCAAGUAUUCACAAGGUUUCGGAAAAGCAAUGAUAAUAGAAAACCAAGAUGCCAAGGUGAACAACAAAUAGCCAAGAUCUUGUGAAAAAAGCCAAGGAGUGGUCACACUGCUCUCAAGUCUGGCAAAACCACAACAUUUAUCCUCACUCAUACAUAAAUCCAGCCCAAGGAAAUAAUCUUUCCUACUGGUCCUGAUAUGAAAUGCAACAUCACAUUUUCAAAAGAAAUGUUUCUAAUCAACUUUUUCAAGGGAAGAUGUGAUUGUACAAUAAAGAAGAUUUCCCCCCCUUUAUCAAAAACUGCCUGGCUAUGUGAAAGGGAAUGUAUAAAAGGCAACACUCAGUCUUAGAAGCAUCAUUCACUUGUACUCGCUGUGCACAGUGUGAAGGUCCGAGUUCAAGCGACACUUUUCUGCAGAGACAACAGAGUUCGAUAAGAAUGCGUUCCUGGACUCUCCUGCCCGUCCUCCUUGCUCUGGCACUUAACGUCGUAAAAGCAGAAAAAGGAAAGAAAAUAGAAUAUUCAAUCCUACACGAGAUCACUGAUGAUAUUAAAACCACAUUGAAGGACCAUCAACUGGAAUCAGUAAAGUAUUGGGUUGAUAAGAAAAGACUUAUCACAGCUUGCAAGAGAAGUGUAACCGAAUGUUUGAAGGAGUUCAUCAACAUACUCAACAGACCUCAAAAAAGCAAUGUGAACAUUAAAGAAAUCGACCACCUGAAAGAAAAGAUCAUUCAUUAUUUGGGGGCAUGCAAGAUCCCGGCCAGGCCACACUUUGAGAAUGAACAAUGGAGGUUAAAGAAGAUCCUGAUAAAAAUGAAUGAAUUUCUGCAUUCCUGGAAACACAAUCACAAGAUUGCGAGGUGUCGGAUCCAACCGAUGCACGGUCCCACACCUGACCUGACCUGAUGCAACUUACAAUACAAGAUGAUGUCAAAAAGAAGCGGAAUGACAUCAUCUACACUGUGUAAACGCUUGGAUCCACUUGCAUAAAACUGAUAAAGUAAUGUUGGAACCAUCUCGAUGCUAAUAAUAAUCAUCAUAUCGUUACAAAGAAUUCUGUUUCGAGCAAACUACUGUUAUGCUGAUAUUUACAUUAAAAUUAUUUUUCCUUGAAAAAGACUAAUUAUUCAUCACAGUGCUGGAAAAAGGUGUGGGGAAGUCGAGGGAGGUUGUAGUGGAAAUGAAAUAAACA